GUACGGCUCAUUACACCAGCCUUAAUUUACUUGACCUUGACAACCUACUUGGAUAACUGUGGUAAUUCUAGAGCUAAUACAUGCACCAAAGCUCCGAUCCUCGCGGAGAGGAGCGCAUUUGUUCGCCACAAAACCAAGCGCCCAUCUGGGCGUCCAGUGCUGAACCAGAACAACUCAGCUGAUCGCACGGUCUUGUACCGGCGACGUGUCUUUCAAGUGUCUGCCUUAUCAACUUUCGAUGGUAGUGUACCUGACUACCAUGGUUGUGACGGGUAACGGAGGAUAAGGGUUCGACUCCGGAGAAGGGGCCUGAGAAAUGGCCACUACGUCUAAGGAUGGCAGCAGGCGCGCAAAUUACCCACUCUCAACGCGAGGAGGUAGUGACGAGAAAUAACGAGACCGUUCUCAUACGAGGCCGGUUAUUGGAAUGGGUACAAUUUAAA
rnacentral:rRNA from 1 species